GUUUGGUAUGUCCGAACUCAAGCCUUGGUGUGUCCGAGGUCCACUAUCUACUCUUCCCCUUCGUUCCAUCCAUCUUCCUUUUCAGAAUUACGUCGAGCAUCGUUUGAUCCGUGACUGAUUCCAAGGACCACCCUUCCCCUUCGAACACCAUACCCGGUCGAAAGUCGAGAGCCUUCUCCGUGAAGCGCGUGAGACUACGAUUCGGCCUUGUUCCAUCCUCUCCGAGUCAAGGCGUGUAUCAUAAAGGACCCUGGUAAGCUGUUAUGGCUUCCUUGAGCGUCUCCCAUAGUUGCAGCGCCAUGGAUGAUGCCUGAUGGAGCUCCGGGCCAGACAGAGAGAAUUGGCCAAUGUGGUCACUGGUUUUAUUCACGGUUUUUUUUUUUUUUUUUUUUACGUUUGGCUUUAAAUUGAGAUUUGUAUGUACUUACCUGUACGUAUAUAUGUAUGUGUAUGUA